UUAAAUAAAAGGUUAAGCUAACUUAAUUUUAAACGUUUAGUGACUAUUUCAUCACGUUUCCAUUUGUAGAAGACGUUGUUAUAUGGCUUGGAAAGUGUAAAAUAAGGGUUAGAAAAAAUUUUCUAAUUACCUAUAAUUAAGGAGACGACGAAGUUCUGUUGCAAUAAAAUACCACAAAGUUAUGCAAACUGAUUAAUUCACUAUUACAUUCAAUAUUCAUAUAUACUUAUGUUUAUACUUGUAUAUAUAAUAAAUUUCAAAUAUAUAUGAAGUAGACGCAGUGUUUAUUCGUAAUACGUUUAAUUUAUUUUUAUAUCUUAAAAUAAUCUGAUUAAAUAAAAUUAGAUUCAAUAUAAAUAAGCGAUGUAGUGUUUAUGCUAGUACAUAUUCUUCAUGAUCCUGGUGCAAAAAGCUCAUCGUACAAACGAUCAAUGAAUACUCCGAUUCAAUAAAAGAAGAAUCAUUUGCCAUCGUUUUGAGGCAGAAUGCUCAUCGUGCAAAGGAUCAACAAAGCCUACAAUAAAUAAUCAAUGCAAUCAUGCGGGUAAUAAUGAAUCGAGUGUUGUACCAUAUAAUUAAUAUAAUAAUCAUGAACUGGAAAGAUUCUUCGUUCGUUGCUUUAAUUUCGUCCACGUUUUGCAAUUUAAGUUUUAGUAUCAUAUGCACUUAAAUCAACUUAAAGCAAUCAAUCAUUGAGUUAUGAUUUGUUUCUAUAAAGUUUAAAAGUAUUUUUCUUUUUAUAUUGUCACAGUAUUCGUGUAUUAGAGUUAGUGCAUCAAUGAUAAUGAACGAAAAUUAAAUACGUUUUCUUCUA